UGGGGAAUAUUGGACAAUGGGGGGAACCCUGAUCCAGCCAUGCCGCGUGUGUGAAGAAGGCCUUAUGGUUGUAAAGCACUUUAAGCGAGGAGGAGGGUACUGGUAUUAAUACUACCAGGUACUGGACGUUACUCGCAGAAUAAGCACCGGCUAACUCUGUGCAAGCAGCCGCGGUAAUACAGAGGGUGCGAGCGUUAAUCGGAUUUACUGGGCGUAAAGCGUGCGUAGGCGGCUAAUUGAGUCGGAUGUGAAAUCCCCGAGCUUAACUUGGGAAUUGCAUUCGAUACUGGUUAGCUAGAGUGUGGGAGAGGAUGGUAGAAUUCCAGGUGUAGCGGUGAAAUGCGUAGAGAUCUGGAGGAAUACCGAUGGCGAAGGCAGCCAUCUGGCCUAACACUGACGCUGAGGUACGAAAGCAUGGGGAGCAAACAGG
rnacentral:rRNA from 1 species